CUGCUGCCUGAGAACCGCGUGCCGACCGUUUCGACUUGUUGUUUCCGUCGACGACGAUUUCGCCGCGUGAUUAUCACGUUGCACCGCACAUAAACGCACCGCGUCGCUGUUACCGUGUUAUUAUAACUAUCGACUUAUAUUGUACAUACCCUUCAUACUUAUAAUGGGGUACUAAUAUACUAAUACUAAUAUUGUAAGUCAUACUAAUAUUUAGGUACUAAUAUUGGUGCCCACGAUCGGUGCGAAAUAUUUCGUUCAAAUCCUGUGUCAAAUCGUUCGAACAUUUCUCCGGCAUUAUUUACGGCUUUCAUCGAGAGCGUCCGACGAUGUGCCAAGUGUGUGCGAAAACAAUUAGUUUCAUUUCAUUCGUCGGUAGAGUCACUAAAUCACGAAACACGAUGAUGCAACGAGUUCAACUCAUAUGAUGAUUUACAAAUUUAUUGCAAAUUCAACGACCAACCAUAUUCCGGUCUUUAUUUCGAAAAAACAUGCCUUCGACCAUGUAAUUCAGAUUGUUGACCGAUUUCGGAGAUCAUCAAACGAUGAGCAGCAUGGCAUUCAGGAGACCGUAUCCAAUGUAGAAAUUCCGAUAGGGAUAGCAAAAGCGCCAUUUUGAACGACUGAGUUUCGGUCACCGCGUGACCUGUGCCCACGGAAUGUUGACGGGUGCUGAGAUACCGUACUUAACUAAAUUAAUAGUGAUGCCCGUGGUCUAAGGGAUCGAACCCUUAACAGGAUAAGUGAUAUGGAAAUGGUGGUCCAGGCAGAAUGACGAAGAGAAGCGCUGGUACCGGGAGAUGGUGAAGAACAAUUACAAGGCCCUGGAUAGUCACAUGGCGUUCACGGCGUGUCUGUACUCCGGGGUAAUAUGUCACCACAUCGAUAUAAUCUAGUGAUUAUCUUUCGAAAUAUGUACUACGUAAAUAAUACCCGUUCUAGUCGCUGUAAAACAUUUUUCGGAUGUUGUAAUAGUUAAUAUAACCCAAAAUUAUC